rnacentral:misc_RNA from 1 species
GAUGAAGAACGUAGCGAAAUGCGAUAAGUAAUGUGAAUUGCAGAAUUCAGUGAAUCAUCGAAUCUUUGAACGCAUCUUGCGCUCCUUGGUAUUCUGAGGAGCAUCCCUGUUUGAGUGUCAUUAAAUUCUCAACUACACUGACUUUGAAUUGGUGUGGCUUGGAUUUGGGGGGAAAAUUGUUGUGGGCUUUUUGUAUAGUCUGCUCCCCUGAAAUUGAUUAGCGGUACCUUUGUGGAACUGUCUACAGGUGUGAUAAUUAUCUACAUCUUAGACAUCUGCUGGAAUGCUGCUUUCUAAACCUUACUUGUAUUGACAAUCUUGACCUCAAAUCAGGUAGGACUACCCGCUGAACUUAAGCAUAUCAAUAGCGAGGA